GCAAGUUUUAAAAUCCAAAUAAUCCAUGACAGCAAUUACAACCGAAAUUUGAACCGAGAUCAAAACACCAAAGGCCGAACGAAACUAAAACUAAAAUGUAACUGAGAUUUCAACUUUGCUCGAUCUGAUUCAAAUCCUUAGCAAAAACUAAAACCGAACCAGAUCCACACAUCCUUAGUUAUAAUAGGCUCAGUUUCUUCUUUAUCAAAAUUGAACAACAAAACGAAAUUGAACUAUCCAGUCAUUUAUGUUAUGCAAGUAAAACCAGUAGAGGACAUUGCCCACAAAAACUAGCCAUCUUUGUCAAUGAAUGGAGAUUGCUACCUCACAUGCAAAAGCCAAGAAAAAAAUGGCAACUUUGAUUUCAGGAACAACAGAAGUUAAUGUAAAGUUCCUGUUUUAUGAUAAAGUUUAAAAACUUAUUUCGCUUUCAAUAUUCUCUUCAAAAAUACUUAUCCAUGAGAAACAACUCUUUGUUGAACUAAAAAACAAAGUCCAAAAUCUGUCACUGCCCUAAAAACUAACAAGUUCAAUAAAAUUUUAGACAUCCUACCUCGAUUCCACUGUAAAAAUUUUGAAAUAAAUUUGUUGGACUUGAAAGGGUUGUAAACAACCACUAAAACACAGGCAAUGUAUCCUUAUUUAUUAGCUUUACUCAACCGAAAAUCCCCUUGUCUGCUGAUGACUACAACCCCACGGAUUUCUCCAGCUUUUGGAUCUGG
rnacentral:misc_RNA from 1 species